rnacentral:lncRNA from 1 species
UGUCUAACACGGCAGAGCUGGAGCGGCGACUCUCUGACCUGGAGCUGGCCCAGAUGCUGUCUAGGCAGAAACUGGAGCGAGCCUCUGUCGCUGCUGAGCGCAUCGUGGCCUCUGACCCUAUCGGCAAGCUUGCCGCCUUCCAGGCGGAAGUGAAGCAGGCCAUCAGCGAGCUGAGAGGAGAGCUCCCCUCCGGGACCGAGCUGGCUGAGCUGCAGAGCCAGCUGGAGCAGCUGAGAACCACCGAGCUGGAGAUGCUGAGGCAAGAGGUGGCCGGGCUCUUGUCGUCGGGUUCCAGGCUGGAGCAGAGCGUGGCCUCGUUGACCGGCUCCCUCACCAGUGCCCAGAGGAGCCUGGAAGAGAAAGCUCAUAGCCUGCAAGCCAUGCAGCAGGAAGCGGAGCACGCUAAGGUGGCUGGCGAGAGAUUGGAGAACAACAUUGGCUCCCUGUCAGCCCGGACCUUCAUCCUGGAGGGAAGCCUCAACCGCACCACACUGCUGGCACGCGCCCUGCAGCUGCAGCUGGAGCAGAACAGCAAGGCUCUGGCUGGACUGCAGGAAGUGGCAGCAAAUCAGAGCGGGAGCGACAGCUCUGAACCUCGGCAGCUGGAGAACCUCAGGGUGCAGAUCCAGCAGCUGCACAUGGAGAGAUCGGCCACGCAGGAGCGGGUGAGCGAGGCGCUGCACAGCAUUGCUGACCAGAGGAGAGAGCUGCAGGGUAGGAUCUCAGAGCUGGAAACGGCUAUUCAUGCUCUUCAGGGCCAUGUGACUCAGGUGGAGCUGGGCAUGGUCAAUCUGAACACACAGCUCUCUGGUGUCGUGGAGCAGCAGCUGCAGGGUCUAAAGAUUGGGAUGGCCAAUCUGGAGAGCAGCCUGGGCACCAGCCUGCAGCAAUGUCUCUCAGGAGAAGUACAGACCCGCUGUGAGACUGAGGAUGGCUGUGGGUGGCCGCAUGUGCACGAGAUCAGCUUCCCGCACCGUGUCCCAACCCAGCCCGCGAUUAUGCUGGGGCUGGUGGGGCUGAGCACUCGUGGUUCUGUGGGCAUCUCGGUGAGAGCUUUGGACAUCACGGACUCUGGCUUCAAAAUACACAUCGCCAGCAUGGGCAACCAGAGCCUGACCAGUGCCAGGGUCUCUUGGAUGCUGUGUGCCUAGAUGGAAAGCUGUGAUGCGGCCCCUGGGGCAGGGGUUACUGAGCUGGUGGCAUCUGCUUUACUUGGACACAACUGUGGUGUGCUUUGGUUUUCUUUAAAGUAAUUACAGCUUACAAGGAGUCCAUGUAGAUGGGAUCCCAAUGAAUAAGCCCCUUUCUUGGGAGCUGUGUAUCCCCAUUUAAUGGCAGGCUGAACAGCCCCAGGCCUUGCUGAAGGCUCCUGGAAAGUGCAACUGACAAGAUCUGUCUUAAACUUCCAAACCUAAGCGCCUAAACUGAACCACCAGCUAUAUGCACGUGCAACUGUUUGUUUGCGUUCAGCCACUCUGCAUCUGCAGAUGUGUGUCUCACUCGCACGAAAAGAUGCACCACAAGGCUAAUUGUGAGGGAAGUUGAGCACCUGGGUCUGGAAAGUUGGCCUGUAAACCUCUUUAUUUAGGAAUUUUUUGGUUUUAUUAUUUUCAGUAGCAACAGUUGGAAUGUUCUCCUGCUGCCCAUUUAGGAUUCUACCCAGUGCUUUGCAUGUCAGAAGUGUUAAAACUUAUGCAGAGAUGAUGCUAAUGGCUGGAUGCAGCCAAAUGACCAAAGGGGGUGUGUGCGUGUGUCCAGUUGGAAAUUCCUGGCUGAGCCAGUUUCUCCUGGCAGUGUGAGCUUGCCUAUAUGGCAGAGGGCAUUGCUAGUCAGGGCUGCUCAUCCCUCACAGAGCUAUGGCGUCUACGCUGAGCCUUACCCUGGAAGAGAUGGACAGACCUGCUAAGCUUUCUUGUGGUGUUGCAAGGUGGGUUAAGACUACUGGCCUUCUCUGGACCUAUCUCACCAAGUGAAACACCAGAGCAUUCAGACUGGGUGUGCUUGCUUGUCUGUCUAAUUCUGCGGAAGGGAAGCAGCUGUAUUUUAAUGUAUACAACU